rnacentral:rRNA from 1 species
GAUUAAGUUAUUAAGGGCGCACGGUGGAUGCCUUGGCACUAGAAGCCGAUGAAGGACGUUACUAACGACGAUAUGCUUUGGGGAGCUGUAAGUAAGCUUUGAUCCAGAGAUUUCCGAAUGGGGAAACCCAGCAUGAGUUAUGUCAUGUUAUCGAUAUGUGAAUACAUAGCAUAUCAGAAGGCACACCCGGAGAACUGAAACAUCUUAGUACCCGGAGGAAGAGAAAGAAAAUUCGAUUCCCUUAGUAGCGGCGAGCGAAACGGGAAGAGCCCAAACCAACAAGCUUGCUUGUUGGGGUUGUAGGACACUCUAUACGGAGUUACAAAGGACGACAUUAGACGAAUCAUCUGGAAAGAUGAAUCAAAGAAGGUAAUAAUCCUGUAGUCGAAAAUGUUGUCUCUCUUGAGUGGAUCCUGAGUACGACGGAGCACGUGAAAUUCCGUCGGAAUCUGGGAGGACCAUCUCCUAAGGCUAAAUACUCUCUAGUGACCGAUAGUGAACCAGUACCGUGAGGGAAAGGUGAAAAGCACCCCGGAAGGGGAGUGAAAUAGAACCUGAAACCGUGUGCUUACAAGUAGUCAGAGCCCGUUAAUGGGUGAUGGCGUGCCUUUUGUAGAAUGAACCGGCGAGUUACGAUUUGAUGCAAGGUUAAGCAGUAAAUGUGGAGCCGUAGCGAAAGCGAGUCUGAAUAGGGCGUUUAGUAUUUGGUCGUAGACCCGAAACCAGGUGAUCUACCCUUGGUCAGGUUGAAGUUCAGGUAACACUGAAUGGAGGACCGAACCGACUUACGUUGAAAAGUGAGCGGAUGAACUGAGGGUAGCGGAGAAAUUCCAAUCGAACCUGGAGAUAGCUGGUUCUCUCCGAAAUAGCUUUAGGGCUAGCCUCAAGUGAUGAUUAUUGGAGGUAGAGCACUGUUUGGACGAGGGGCCCCUCUCGGGUUACCGAAUUCAGACAAACUCCGAAUGCCAAUUAAUUUAACUUGGGAGUCAGAACAUGGGUGAUAAGGUCCGUGUUCGAAAGGGAAACAGCCCAGACCACCAGCUAAGGUCCCAAAAUAUAUGUUAAGUGGAAAAGGAUGUGGCGUUGCCCAGACAACUAGGAUGUUGGCUUAGAAGCAGCCAUCAUUUAAAAGAGUGCGUAAUAGCUCACUAGUCGAGUGACACUGCGCCGAAAAUGUACCGGGGCUAAACAUAUUACCGAAGCUGUGGAUUGUCCUUUGGACAAUGGUAGGAGAGCGUUCUAAGGGCGUUGAAGCAUGAUCGUAAGGACAUGUGGAGCGCUUAGAAGUGAGAAUGCCGGUGUGAGUAGCGAAAGACGGGUGAGAAUCCCGUCCACCGAUUGACUAAGGUUUCCAGAGGAAGGCUCGUCCGCUCUGGGUUAGUCGGGUCCUAAGCUGAGGCCGACAGGCGUAGGCGAUGGAUAACAGGUUGAUAUUCCUGUACCACCUAUAAUCGUUUUAAUCGAUGGGGGGACGCAGUAGGAUAGGCGAAGCGUGCGAUUGGAUUGCACGUCUAAGCAGUAAGGCUGAGUAUUAGGCAAAUCCGGUACUCGUUAAGGCUGAGCUGUGAUGGGGAGAAGACAUUGUGUCUUCGAGUCGUUGAUUUCACACUGCCGAGAAAAGCCUCUAGAUAGAAAAUAGGUGCCCGUACCGCAAACCGACACAGGUAGUCAAGAUGAGAAUUCUAAGGUGAGCGAGCGAACUCUCGUUAAGGAACUCGGCAAAAUGACCCCGUAACUUCGGGAGAAGGGGUGCUCUUUAGGGUUAACGCCCAGAAGAGCCGCAGUGAAUAGGCCCAAGCGACUGUUUAUCAAAAACACAGGUCUCUGCUAAACCGUAAGGUGAUGUAUAGGGGCUGACGCCUGCCCGGUGCUGGAAGGUUAAGAGGAGUGGUUAGCUUCUGCGAAGCUACGAAUCGAAGCCCCAGUAAACGGCGGCCGUAACUAUAACGGUCCUAAGGUAGCGAAAUUCCUUGUCGGGUAAGUUCCGACCCGCACGAAAGGCGUAACGAUUUGGGCACUGUCUCAACGAGAGACUCGGUGAAAUCAUAGUACCUGUGAAGAUGCAGGUUACCCGCGACAGGACGGAAAGACCCCGUGGAGCUUUACUGUAGCCUGAUAUUGAAAUUCGGCACAGCUUGUACAGGAUAGGUAGGAGCCUUUGAAACGUGAGCGCUAGCUUACGUGGAGGCGCUGGUGGGAUACUACCCUAGCUGUGUUGGCUUUCUAACCCGCACCACUUAUCGUGGUGGGAGACAGUGUCAGGCGGGCAGUUUGACUGGGGCGGUCGCCUCCUAAAAGGUAACGGAGGCGCUCAAAGGUUCCCUCAGAAUGGUUGGAAAUCAUUCAUAGAGUGUAAAGGCAUAAGGGAGCUUGACUGCGAGACCUACAAGUCGAGCAGGGUCGAAAGACGGACUUAGUGAUCCGGUGGUUCCGCAUGGAAGGGCCAUCGCUCAACGGAUAAAAGCUACCCCGGGGAUAACAGGCUUAUCUCCCCCAAGAGUUCACAUCGACGGGAGGUUUGGCACCUCGAUGUCGGCUCAUCGCAUCCUGGGGCUGUAGUCGGUCCCAAGGGUUGGGCUGUUCGCCCAUUAAAGCGGUACGCGAGCUGGGUUCAGAACGUCGUGAGACAGUUCGGUCCCUAUCCGUCGUGGGCGUAGGAAAUUUGAGAGGAGCUGUCCUUAGUACGAGAGGACCGGGAUGGACAUACCUCUGGUGUACCAGUUGUCGUGCCAACGGCAUAGCUGGGUAGCUAUGUGUGGACGGGAUAAGUGCUGAAAGCAUCUAAGCAUGAAGCCCCCCUCAAGAUGAGAUUUCCCAACUUCGGUUAUAAGAUC